rnacentral:rRNA from 1 species
CGCUGUUGGCGAUAGACAGUCAGCGGCCAAGGGAAACCGAUAAGUGAGCCACCUGGGGAGUACGGCCGCAAGGUUGAAACUCAAAGGAAUUGACGGGGGCCCGCACAAGCGGUGGAACAUGUGGUUUAAUUCGAUGAUACGCGAGGAACCUUACCUGGGCUUAAAUGUGAAGUGCAUUGAUUGGAAACAAUCAUUUCCUUCGGGACCCUUUACAAGGUGCUGCAUGGUUGUCGUCAGCUCGUGCCGUGAGGUGUCGGGUUAAGUCCCAUAACGAGCGCAACCCCUAUUGUUAGUUACCAGCGCGUAAUGGCGGGGACUCUAGCGAAACUGCCGGUGUAAACCGCGAGGAAGGUGGGGAUGACGUCAAAUCAGCACGGCCCUUAUGUCCAGGGCUACACACGUGUUACAAUGGUGCAUACAGAGGGUAGCGAAGCUGCGAAGCGGAGCCAAUCUCAGAAAGUGCAUCCCAGUUCGGAUUGGAGUCUGCAACUCGACUCCAUGAAGGUGGAUCGCUAGAAUCGCGCAUCAGCC